rnacentral:tRNA from 1 species
UCGCCUGUAGCUCAGAGGAAAGAGCAAUAGCCUUCUAAGCUAUCGGUUUCAGGUUCGAGUCCUGAAUGGUGCACCA